rnacentral:tRNA from 2 species
CAUUAAGAAGCUAUGCACUCUUAGCGUUAGCCUUUUAAGCUAAAGAAAGAGGAACCCCCACCCUCCUUAAUGA